UUCCUGUAUUUUGUCCCCUCCCGGGUCUCCGUAGUGGCGGUUUAUGUCGGCUGCUGGCGGAUCAGAAAAACAAAGCAACUUCCAGCUUUAAUUCACAUCUAACGACGCUGCCAUGGAGGAGGUGACCCGCCUGGUGUCCACAGGAGACUGUGUGAGGAUCUGGGAUGCCGGUUCGAUGGCCCCUCUGGAGCAGUUUAACCCCCACAGCAGCGGACACCCGGUGAACCAGGCCUGCUGGAGCUCCAACAAUCAUUACCUGGUGAGUGCCAGCAGCAGCGGAGACAAGCUGGUGGUCAGCAGCCUGAAGUCCUCUCCAGUCCCAGUGGUGGAGCUGGGAGACGGGGUGAGACUCUACGCUGCUUCAUAUCAACAUGUGUU